ensembl:miRNA
AGGGCUCCUGACCCCAGGUCCUGUGUGUUACCUUGAAAUAGCACUGGACUUGGAGUCAGAAGGCCU